CCAGGAUGUUGGCUUAGAAGCAGCCAUCAUUUAAAGAAAGCGUAAUAGCUCACUGGUCGAGUCGGCCUGCGCGGAAGAUGUAACGGGGCUAAACCAUGCACCGAAGCUGCGGCAGCGAACGUAUCACCCAAGACAACUUUACGGAGUUGACGAUUGACGGAGCGAAGCGACGUCAAAGCGUUCAUUAAAGUCGAGUUGGCUUAGGGAUACGUUCGUUGGGUAGGGGAGCGUUCUGUAAGCCUGUGAAGGUG
rnacentral:rRNA from 2 species